CAAACAACUACUUCUAGCUUCAGAACUGGAUUUAAGAAGGAUACUGGAAUCAUGUAGACUGACCUUGCCUUAUAGGAAUUGAUGUCUGAUGCUUUGCUCUGAUAUCAAAGAACUUAAUAAGCAAGGCUUUAUUACCAGGUUGAAAGCGGUGGGGAUGUUAAGACUCUGGAUUUCAUGGUCUCAGGCCCGACCCACCCAUGAGGUGGAGUGAAGCAGCUGCCUCAGGCAGCAAAAUCCCCUGAGGCGCCAUCCCUGUGGGCACUCUGCCUGCCCACUACUUCUGCCAGAGGCAGGGCAGGCAGCACAGCUGCAGCGGAAGCAGUUCUUGUUUUCCCUCAAGUGAUGAGAUGGCUGGCUCUGAAUGGUUUUGUGGGGCCUCGUCUUGAGGUGGUAGCAUGUGUUAAGGUCGCUUAUUUUAUACAGUCAUACCUUGGAUCUCAAACGCCUUGGCUCCCAAACAAAUCGGCUCCUGAAUGGUCGAAACCCGGAAGUGAGUGUUCCGUUUUUCGAACGAUUUUCGGAAGCCGAACGUCUGGCGCGGCUUCCGAUUGGCUGUAGGAGCUUCCUGCAGCCAAUCAGAAGCCACCCUUUGGUUUCUGAACAUUUUGGAAGUCAAACAGACUUCCGGAACAGAUUCCGUUCGACUUCCAAUGCAUGGUUGUAAUGUGAUACGGCUUGCUGCAUUUGGGGGCCUUCCUGCUCAUUCUGUGAGUGGGAUCCUAGACUUCUGCCCCAAAAUCCUGUUCUGGCUGCACCACUCAGAGAAUGCUUUACAGUCCUGUAAUCAGCUGAAGGUGUGAGUAUUUGUAGUUAAGUUUUCCACUUUAAGAAAUUCAGUGAGGAGGUUGUGCAGUUUCACCCAAGUGUGAUGAUAUUUAUGGUGCCAGUUAAAGAAAGUGCAUGGUUCGGUGACUGGAGCUGUUGAGUGUUGAAAACUGAAAAACUCAGAAACUGAGUCUAAGGUAUGGUUGUCUGUUCUGUCCUUGAUUAUUGCUCAAGAUUAAAAGCUUGAUUGUGUGGCAAAAGUAGUUUGCAUAUCCUCCUUCCCUAAGGACUUAAUGCUUUCUGUUCGUAAUUAAUUCUUAUUGAUACUUGUGAUGUUUUAAAGUUUUGUUAGUUGUACACAAAGAUGAUAUUUAUAUUUUUAAGAACCUCCAUCCUAUUCUCUUUUUUAACACUCAACUGAGAAUAUUGAUUCUCUUCUACAACAUGGUUUUUUUUGCAGAGCAUCUUCUUCAAGAGCACCAUUACGCCAUACUUGUUUAAUUCAUCUCCAUUGGUUUAUCAGGAAUGCAAGUGAUUGACUGGUUUGUGGCAAGAAAGGAUUGGUUUUAAUUACAUAGACUGAAAUGUUCUAGUUGUGUAUUUUGCUUUGUUUUUGAUAUUUGUGCACACAGCUCUCUUUUUCAGUAUAAAACGGUUCUGAUUUUAUACAACAGGAGACUGAAGGGCUUCGGAUGUAGCGGCGACAAAUUCAUAGACUGUGCAGAUGUGUGUUUUUCUCAAGCUAGGUUGGAAAAAGGACUGACUGUAAAUCCCAGCCUGGUCAGAGGGUGGAUUAGUUUAGAGGAGAGGCCAGAGUGAAUGGGGAAGUAGCUAAAUCAAGCAUCCAUAGAUGAAAUUGACGUUUGCCGUACUAAAGGAGAACUGUGAGUUUCUUCUACAGGCAGAGAUGCAAACAGUGCUUUUCUGAACCUUUUCUUAAAAAACAAAACACACAAUCAUAGUAAGGUGCUGGUGUUUUUAUUUUAAUUUUAUUUUUAGUUUGCUGGAGUCAACUGGAAAGAAGGGAGUAAGAAGGAAAUAUUGCUGUUUGGGGCAUGUCCUUUGGAGGCUUUUUGUGGAUCCAUGAAGACGUCUGGUUAAAACCCAUGAGAGGAAGUGACUGUUUAAUAACAGUGGUGUAACAGUACUGGCAUCUAGGUGAAAUCAUGGCUGAAAUCCUAGGUACACUUCUGUGGAAGAAAGUCCCAUUGAACUCCAUGGGGCUUUCUUCCGUGUAGGGGUAUAUAGGAGUGCAUAGUAAAAUUGCAGCGCCUCAGAGAAGAAAUGGUUUAAUGUAGUGUGAACUUUGGAAGGAAGCAGCCUGUAAAAUGGAGUAGGUUGCUGCCCUCUAAAAGUGUACAUUUUCAUGUUAACACAGUGAUAUAAUAAGCCUUUACCCGUAGCAGUUUCCUCACGUAGGAAGGAGGCAGAGAUUAUUUUUAUUUUGCAAUUCUUAACAGUUUGUACUGUUCCAAAUGACAGUAUGCAAUGAAGGAACUGCUUGCUUAAUGAAUGGGAGCAAUGUCAUUGGAGACCUGAGUAAUUUUUCCCCUAAAUCUUUUAUCAGCUGACAGCACAAUCCUAUACAUGUCUACUCAAAAGAGGUAAAUUCAUUUAAGUUCAAUAGGACUUAUUCCCAAGUAAGUGGGUAUAGGACUGCAACCUAAACGCCAUUGUUUUGAACUUCUUCCAGUUUCAGUGAAUUUGGCCCUGUACUUAACAUGAUGACUAAUAGUUUCAUCUUCCCACCCUCCCCUUCAUACUAGUUCACAGGCCAAUGAAGGAAUGCUGUCUCCCAUCCAUUGUUUUCUGUAUUCUUAAGGGACUAUACCUCAAAAUUUGGCUUGAAAUAAAUUAUGGUUUACCAAACUUGAAGGAAAAUUUAAACCCACGCCUAUCUUUAACCAAAGAAAAAAAUUAAUAAAUAUGAAUAAAUAUGUACCUUAGAGUAUGUCUCUGCCCAUUCCAAGUUCCCCAGGCACAUGUUGUGACUUUUUGGACAAGACACGCUACGGAGUACCAUUUUUUCUUUAUGUUCUUCCAUGUUUGUCACACUUUUAAUAUUUUUAUUUAACAUAUUGUGUUUGAAGAAGUUUGCUUGGGAGAAUUCGGUCCUAUUUGCUGCUGCUGUGCAAACUGUGACUAGGUGAAGUUUUGUGCCAGUGCUGGUAAAGAUAAUCCAUCCCUAGAGAUUCCCACUAUUUGGGGGCUGAUAGGAGCUGUGGGUCAUCACCAAGGCACCAGGUUCAUAAAUGCUGUCGUGGGGCAGGUGGCAUUCUCUGCCCCUUCCUGUGUCUGGUUUUUGUUCGGUUCCUACACACUAUUGGUCUUUGCGCCUGCAGUGGGAGAAAGGGAGGACUAGGCACUCUUGAGCCACACUUCCAGUUCUCAUUGUCUUACUGUUGUCUUAUCUUACUGUAUAAAACACCUGGUUCAUAAGCUAAGACUUUCUUGACCCAGAAGUGUCAAUCAGAUAGAGCAAGGCACCCCGCAUCCAACUCUGUACAAUAGUGACAUUAUAUAAUGCGUUGUUGAGUUCCAGGUCACUUAUGCAAUAUUUCCCGUCAGGCAAAGCUGAUUUCUGCUGCUCUAGUACUGGGCCAUGGUGAGAGAUCAUUGGGAAAUGGCCCUUCUGGGUAUGUUGCUCUGUUCUACCAUCACACUCGGUGGCUGGAUCGUGUUGUAGCUUUUCUUUAAAUCAUUGUCGUUGUAAGGGUUGGAUUCGUAUCAGUCGGCUGAAGAAUUUAGCUUGCUUCUGCUUUCCCCUGUUCUUACUCGGUGGUGUGGGGGAAUAACCACACAGGGAUAUUUAUGUAUUUGCAGGGCGUUAGGUGGCUGUGUAUUUUGCAGGAUUUGCCAAGCUGGGCCAGCGGAAGAAUAAUAAUACCACUGAAUGUAAACAAACAAAACGGAAAAAAAGCUCUUUUAGCAGAAGGAAACAUAUAUGUAGCAAGUGUGUCAUUUUGAGUGGGCAGAAGUUGUCAGGAGCCUCCGAUAGCUUGUUUUUUCUGAAUAUAGCAAAUAAGAGUGAAACUCUCGUUUCUUAUGUACGGGUUAGUAUUGUCCUUCCAGUUUUAGCAGUGCUGCUAUACCAGACUUUUGUGUGCAUAUUAAGAAAAGAAAAGGUGUAUAUUAAUCUUUUGCUUAAUGUAGUUAAACUAAGAAAGGCAAUACUAAAAGCAUUCCCCCCCCCCAAAAAAUGUGAUGUUUUUACUGCACUGAUAGAAAUUGUGGCAUCUCUAGUCUAACUCUUCAGCUGUAGGUGUAAGUUCCAUGCCAGUUCGCACAAAUAUCUGUGUGUGAAUGGUACCCAUAGGCCUCUCUCUCCUUCCUUCCUUCCUUCCUUCCUUCCUUCCUUCCUUCCUUCUGUCAUGAAAGAGGUGGGGCAACACUGCUGAAAGCAAAUGAAAUGUCUCACUUUCAGGACAAAGCUAAGAACUAAAGGUGCUGGGAUGGAGCUAAUAAUAACAGAAAACUUUUUAAAAAGCCAGUACAUUUUGAGGAAAUUUGAAAUACUUUGGUCUGGAAUUUCUAUUAGAAAAUAUAUGCAUUUGCCAUCCAUCUUUAUUAUUAUUUUUUUUAACACUACUUUUUGUAUUUUUCCUUUUUGCUUCUUUGCUAUGGUUCUAGAGUAGACUCUGUGUUCUAGAUGUUUCUAACUUUCUAGAGCUCACUGACUCCAUUGGAAGCAAACCCACCUGAUCAGGAUUCUGGAUCCCAGUUGGUUCAACAAGGAUUCCAGAAUUUUGAUCAACACUUUGUUUUAUAAAUAAAGAAGGAUUAAAAUAUUUCUCUUACAAAAAAAAACUGUGACCUAAUGGCAAUAAUUACCUCAAACGUGGGCAUUCAUCUUGGUUUUAGCCUUUAAAAAUAAAAACAAACAAACAUGUAGCCAGCUUGAAUUUGGGAUUAAAUAUAUAUAUAUAUAUAUAAAAAUGCCCACCCUGGUCAUUGUUGCUUUGAGUGAUUCUUUAAAAAUAAAACAAUGAAACCAAGGAUUAAAUUACUCUUAUAUGUAUUUUAAUUAAUUGUGAUAUUGAAAUGCACAUGUAAUUAUAUAUGUUCAUUGCUACUGUAAAGUGCUUCGACCUUCUCGAAGAUAUGUAAUGAAUCACAUUUUAAACCAAUAUGAACUGAACAACCGACUGUGGCUACUAAACAUUUUCUGGUUGCAUUUUAUAGUUACGAUGUUUUAUAGUUUACAUUGAAACUGGUACUUUCUAACUAAAUGUUCUGUUUUAAUUAUACCUUCAGAAUCUCAACACUGCUGUCCCUUUAACAUUUUAAUUUUUUGCUCUCGCUCUCUCUUUUUUAAGCAGAACUGUGUCUUCAAUGUGUACAUUCUGUUCUGAGAUAUAACAUAGUAGGUAGAAGGUCAGACCAGAUAAUUCCAAAGUUAAGAGGAGCAAAUCACUCCGUACAUAUUAACAAGUAAAGCCCAACAAAUGACCUAUUUAUUUUUUAAUUAAGAAGGAAGAAAAUAAUAAUAAUUGAAGCUCUUGGGGACGAAUCAGGAAGCACAAUAAUUCCCAGCUAGCUCUUUCCUUUAGGCUCCCUUCCUAAACACACUUACCAAGGAGUAAGCCCCAACAAACACAUUGUGACUUGCUUCUGAGUAAAGCGUGGGAUUAUAACCGCUGAAAUCUUAACCUGAACAGACAUAACCAUUGUGAGAACCAAGUAUUCAAAGCAAGCGGCGUAUUGUAUAGCGAGUGGCUUGGAGCUCGUGAACACACAGAUGGGUAAUGCUGCGGGCUUGCCAGCUUCAUAAUCAUGGAAGCAGACCUGUCUGCUUAGAAUUACCUUGUAAAAAUGGCAAUCGUGGAUCACAGGUGCAUUAUGCAUUUACCUGUCCCUGGAAAUUUUUGGAAGCCCUGCACUUGGUAUGCCUCUCCCAACGCCCCCAGGGUUGAUCAAUUGGCAGCUGUAUCCAUGGAAAUCAUAAAAUGCAGGACUAGCUACCAGCAACUCAUGCACAUGUCUCACAGCUGGGAAACCUGUGAUUAAGUCCUCAAGUACUGAGACAACAAAUCCUUGGAUUGUUUUCAGAAACAAUGACAGGCAGUGCUAUAUAAUUCUGUAAUCAUGCAGUCUAUCUCAUUUGUCACUUGGAACCCCCUAAGCUAAAUAUGAAGAACUUGACCAGUACCUUGUAAAUUUAAUUUGCCUAUUAGCCAAUGACAGUUUAUCGGAUGCUGUUCUGUUUUCAUAUUACCAGGUGUCGCGAAUUAUGUGUUUGGACGCAAACGGUCUUUUGCAUUCGUUUUUCUCGUCGUACUUAUGUUUGUUUGACGUGUGAGGGUUUCUUUCUCUUACUGUCCGAGUAACCAAUGAAUGGAAACGUUCUGCUGGGCAAAGAGGUGUUUUUAGACAAUAAAUCUACAGGAACUGGCACAAAAAUGACUUUAUCCAAACAGCUGGGCUUCAUUGUGGAGCUGACAAUCUCAGCAAAGUUCCUAACAUUUGUUCAGCACUGGCAGAUUAAGGAGUUGCAAGGAAAAGGCGAGGAACAGAUUGUUUUUAGGUCCUUGUUAAAAUCUCUGCUCCCACUAGAUUCAAGGGGAGCCCCCCAGCCCCUUCAGCCAAUUUAAAGCCAUGGUUUCCACAGUAUAGCUCACAUUACCAAAGUGAACUUGGCAUGUGGCUGUGCCGCCAUUUUGAAAGCCUAAUGGGAAGCCUGUUAGGAUUUUAGGACUCAAGAAAACUGGAAGAGGUUGGGAUUCCCUAGCCCUUGGGCAUGGUUAACAGCAAAUAACUCUUUUACCGCCCUUAGCAACCACUCAUUUCCCCUUUUAUAUCAACGCUAGUCGUGGAAAUAUCACCAUAACCCCACUGAAAGGGCUAUAGAUUGUCUUUCCAAACCCUGGGCUUGGAGUCUGUAAAGCACAAAGGAGUUUUUAACAUAGCCGUCUCCUCAGAAAGGGAAAUGCAGCCUUCCCUGCUUUCACUUUGGGGUGGUUGCAGACCUCUUUUCCUCUAUACAUGUUGGGAUUUUUUUCCCUUUCUGAGGUGGUAUUUCCCUCGGCUAUUCCACAGCACGGCUCUCUGAGGUGCAGAAAACACCUCCUCAUCCCUUGUGCUUUACCAGCGAAGUUAAAAAUAUAAAGCUAGGCAUUUCCCAGUGCCAAAUUUUUAUACAGACAGAAUUGGAAUGUAUAAUCUGAAAAUUCUAUACCAAAAUCAGUAUUUUUUUUUCUUUCAAAAGAGGGGGAAAUAAUAGCUUUAUUAGAAAGGGGAGGAAGAAAGGGGAUAUAUUGGCCGUUAGAGUCUUUUUGUGGUAGUUAAAAUAAAAAUUGGGGAAGGUAUUUGUGAAUAUAUGGACUCUUUUAACCCAUAGUUGAAGGGAUGUUUUAUACCUCUUAAUUUCGCAUAAACCCAGUCUACUUUGAAUUGAAUGAAAAACACAUACUACAUGAAAAAAAAAUUUUUUUAGGGAGGGGCAAAAUAAUUGAAAUAUAUUCCAAUGCAGAAAGACACCUCCCCACCCUUCCACCUGAUUUAUAUUUGUAAGGCUUUUGCUUUUUUUCUAGAUACAGUAUCAUCUCAGUUCAAAAAACCCAUGAAAGCCCUGGUUGGUUGUAUUCUUUCACUGUACGGUUCUGUAUUGAGUGUUAAUCCAUGUUAAAACUUUGUGAAAAUUAUUGUGUGCAACCGUAUUUUCUUGUGUAUUGUUUCUUUUCUUUUCUUUUUCUUUUCUGUGAAUUGUCCCCUUUGUUUCCUUUCUUUCCUCCCACUUUUGUUAUUUUUCUGUUUUGUUUUCUUCUGGUAAUGUCUUUGGGGGAAAAAAAAAACCAGAAAAGAAACUGACGUGUUGUAGAACUAUAUGUAACCUAUUCCUUAGUCUCAUAUUAUAGGUAUGUUAUAAGAAUGGAUAUUUUACUUGGCUUUAGAAUGUUUUACAAGAAAACUAAUUCUUAACCAAUCAAGUUCUUGCUACUAAAAAAAAGAAAAAAAAUGCUUGUGUUUCUCAUCAUGACGUUGUGUGCUUCUAAUUAAUAAUCAUUUUCGUUGUAGAAAAAUGGAGUGAAUUUAUAUUAGACUUGAAAACUAAUAAUAGCAUUGUAAAUUUAUGAGAUGAUUUUAACAGAAAAAAAGCAUUAUAGAAGAAUAUAGUUAUUUUAAUUGUAAUAUUACUAACUGUAGGGUGAGAAAGGGCCCCCCGUUGUGGUGAACUAUGUUAUAGCUUGUUAUUCACAGUUUCUUUUUGAUCAUUUUUUCGGUCUCUGAGGUGAAACGAGUUAUUAAUCAGAAUUUGUAAACUCACAUAUGCAUAUUGUAUAUGUGUAGAAAUGUAAUCACACUUUGUCUUGGAAUUACAUUAAACUGUUUUAAGUCACUGC
rnacentral:lncRNA from 1 species